rnacentral:rRNA from 1 species
GGGACAACCCGCCGAAAGGCGGGCUAAACCCGCGUACAUGCCACCGGGGCAUCCCGGAGGCAGGAAAGGCUUCGGCCGGACAGGGAUGGGCAUGCGGCGCAUUAGGCAGUAGGCGGGGUAACGGCCCACCUAACCGACGAUGCGUAGGGGUUCUGAGAGGAAGGUCCCCCACACUGGUACUGAGACACGGACCAGACUCCUACGGGAGGCAGCAGUGAGGAAUAUUGGUCAAUGGUCGGGAGACUGAACCAGCCAAGCCGCGUGAGGGAGGAAGGUACAGAGUAUCGUAAACCUCUUUUGUCAGGGAACAAAGACUGGGACGCGUCCCCGGAUGAGUGUACCUGAAGAAAAAGCAUCGGCUAACUCCGUGCCAGCAGCCGCGGUAAUACGGAGGAUGCGAGCGUUAUCCGGAUUUAUUGGGUUUAAAGGGUGCGCAGGCGGUCUGUUAAGUCAGCGGUCAAAGCCCGGGGCUCAACCCCGGCCCGCCGUUGAAACUGGCAGUCUCGAGUUGGAGAGAAGUAUGCGGAAUGCGCGGUGUAGCGGUGAAAUGCAUAGAUAUCGCGCAGAACUCCGAUUGCGAAGGCAGCAUGCCGGCUCCACACUGACACUGAGGCACGAAAGCGUGGGUAUCGAGCAGGAUUAGAUACCCUGGUAGUCCACGCAGUAAACGAUGAAUGCUGGCUGUCCG